UAAAAGCGCACACUACCAUACCCUGCUAGUCAGUUACUUUUAAAUUUAGCUUCAAGCAAGUCCCCAGGGUCUUGGCAGAAAGAAGUUAGUUCUUUGCAAAGGUAUCACAGGAAUGGCCUCUAGCCUGGCUGCUAAUCAAGUCCUUGCUUCCCUUGGAAACCUCAGGAGCUGGGCAGGCCUUCAGUAUCUACCUUUCUCUCAGCGCGACCUCCUUCCAGGCUCCUACUAGAACGGCCCAUUAACUAGAUGACUGAAGGCCCCGACCGUGAUACCAACGUCUGUAUUAGUUGUGUUGCGUUUACUGUGCUAAAAUGCUGUGACAGAAGAAUUGAAACAAACCAAGUUUGUUUGGGCUCAUGGCUCCGGACAGGGUACGUGAUGGUAAGGAAGCCCAGCAGCUGCUGGCAGGAGCAGGAUGCUGGCUGAGCACGUUUCUACCACACACAGGAAGUAAGUUCCACCUGGGAGACGAGUGUUCAAAUUCACGGACUAUGGGGGCAUUGCUUAUUCAGACUGCAACACUGGGAUCUACGUGUACAUCUGGAAAGUGUUCGGCAAUGACACCAUUAAGGUAGGAGAUACAGAAAUGACCCAAGGAUGGAAGGCGGGGUGAGAGAACACCUUCGCUGUGGGGUCUUUUGUGUUAUCUGAGAAGUGGUGAAGGCACAAACCCAGACUGUGAAAAGCGAAGAAACAUCGCUUGAAAUCAUGACGGUGACCAAGAGAAAAGUUAUGUAGGAACACACCACAAAA